rnacentral:rRNA from 1 species
UAAAAUUUUAUUUUUAUUUGUUUAUUAAAAGAAAUAAUUUUAUUUUUAUUAAUUUUAUGAAAAAAUUAUAAUAAUUAUAGUAUAUUGUAUUGUGAAAGAAAAUUUUUAAUUUUAAAAAAGAAAAAUUUAUUUUUUGUACCUUGUGCAUCAGGGUUUAUUAAAUUAAAUUAAGUAUUUAAUAAUCUCGAAUUUAAAAGAGUUAAAAAUUUAUUAUUUUUAUUGUAGAAUAAAUAUUUUUAAUAAAUUUUUAGUAAUGAAAUGUUAUUCGUUUUUAAAUAUAUCUAGUUUUUUAAGAAAAAAAUUUAAUUUUAAAAUUAUUAAUAUAAAUUUAAAUUUUUAAUAAUAUAUUAGUAAUUUUAAAUAUUUUUAGGGAUGAGCUUAAAAAUAGAUUUUUAUUAAAAAUUAAAGAUAAAAAUAUAUUUAGGAUUAGAAAUUUCUAUAAUUUUUAGUAUGUUAUAAUUAGUUUUUAAAAUAUAAUAUUUUUAUUUUUUAUAAAUUUUUUAUUAAAAUAUAAAUUUUAAUAGUUAAAAUUUAGAAAUAAUGAUAAAAUUAGUAUAAAUUAAUGAAUUAUAAAUAAUUUAAUUUAUUUAGUUAAAUUUAAGGAAUUCGGCAAAUUAUUUUUCACCUGUUUAUUAAAAACAUGUCCUUUUGUUAAAAAUUUAAGGUCUCACCUGCCCAAUGAAAAUUUAAAUGGCCGCGGUAUUUUGACCGUGCUAAGGUAGCAUAAUCAUUAGUUUUUUAAUUGAAAGCUGGAAUGAAGGGUUGGAUGAAAAAAUAACUGUCUCAAAUUUAUUUAAUUAGAAUUUUAUUUUUAAGUUAAAAAGCUUAAAUAUUUUUAAAAGACGAGAAGACCCUAUAGAGUUUAAUAAUAAUUAAUUAUUUAAAUUUAGUAUUUAAAUUUUUAUAGUAACAUUUUUAUUUAAUUGGGGUGAUUAAAAAAUUUAAUGAACUUUUUUUAUAUUUUUAUAUUAAUUGAUAUAUAAAUGAUCCUAAAUUUUAGAUUAUAAGAAAAAAUUACCUUAGGGAUAACAGCGUAAUUUUAUUUUAGAGUUCAAAUCGAAAAUAGAGAUUGCGACCUCGAUGUUGGAUUAAAGUAAAUUUUUGGUGUAGAAGCUAAAAUAUUAAGUCUGUUCGACUUUUAAAUCUUUACAUGAUCUGAGUUUAAACCGGUGUAAGCCAGGUUGGUUUCUAUCUUUAAAUUAUUAAUUUAUUUUAGUACGAAAGGACCAAAUAAAUAUAAAAUUUAUUUUUUUUUUGAUAAAAAUUAGUUAUUUUGGCAGAUUAGUGCAA